AUUGAACGCUGGCGGCAUGCCUUACACAUGCAAGUCGAACGGCAGCACGGGAGCAAUCCUGGUGGCGAGUGGCGAACGGGUGAGUAAUAUAUCGGAACGUGCCCAGUCGUGGGGGAUAACGUAGCGAAAGCUACGCUAAUACCGCAUACGAUCUAUGGAUGAAAGCGGGGGAUCGCAAGACCUCGCGCGAUUGGAGCGGCCGAUAUCAGAUUAGGUAGUUGGUGAGGUAAAGGCUCACCAAGCCGACGAUCUGUAGCUGGUCUGAGAGGACGACCAGCCACACUGGGACUGAGACACGGCCCAGACUCCUACGGGAGGCAGCAGUGGGGAAUUUUUGGACAAUGGGCGCAAGCCUGAUCCAGCAAUGCCGCGUGCAGGAUGAAGGCC
rnacentral:rRNA from 1 species